UACGUAGGGGCGAAGCGUUAUCCGGAAUCACUGGGCGUAAAGGGUGCGUAGGCGGCCUAUCAAGUCAGGGGUGAAAGGCAUUGGCUCAACCAAUGUAAGCCUUUGAAACUGUUAGGCUUGAGUGCAGGAGAGGUAAGUGGAAUUCCUAGUGUAGAGGUGAAAUUCGUAGAUAUUAGGAGGAACACCAGUGGCGAAGGCGACUUACUGGACUGUAACUGACGCUGAGGCACGAAAGCGUGGGGAGCGAACAGGAUUAGAUACCCGUGUAGU
rnacentral:rRNA from 1 species